GGUUCGGUGGUCUGGUAGACAAGAUGCUCGGUACAGUUGCGUGGUGAACAACCAGAACAGUGCCAAAAACACCCGGGUCCUGCAGCCGCCUGUCAAGUUCUAACCGUUUCCCGAGCAAAUGGUAUGAAAAUGAACGCAGACAGGCAUGGAUAACCGCCGUCCGCAGAAUCAAGUCAAAGCAGAAGCAAGCGUGUACCUUGUGAGAGAACCUUCUCGGUGUUCUCGGGCUCUGGCCGGGGGCCAGGUCGAGGGCUGCACCUUGGCCGGCAGCCGGACGUCUCCGGAGCCCUCCAUCAGAUGAUGAUGAUGAUGGGCCGAGUACUGGCGAACGUGUGAAAACCAGCAAGCAAAAAAAAAAAAAAAUGCACUUGGAGUGUUUCGUCAUGUCUGCCAAGGCAUGGUGCAAUACACGUCCCCGUCUUCCUUGCCCCAAACUGAAAUAAAC